UUGCGACCGUAUCACGUUGAAACACCAGUUCUCGUACGAUCAUCGAUGUUAAGCAUCGUCGAUUCUGGUCAGUACCGAGAGGGGUGAUUGAUUGGGAAUACCAGGUUCUGUAAG